GGCGCACGGGUGAGUAAUAUAUAGUUAACCUGCCCUAGAGAAGGGGAUAACGUUUGGAAACGGACGCUAACACCCUAUAUGCCUUUAAUACAUAAGUAUGCAAGGGAAACAUUUAUGGCUCUAGGAUGGGACUGUACGGUAUCAGUUAGUUGGUGAGGUAAUGGCUCACCAAGACAAUGACACCUAACUGGUUUGAGAGGAUGAUCAGUCACACUGGAACUGAGACACGGUCCAG
rnacentral:rRNA from 1 species